UACAGAGGUCUCAAGCGUUGUUCGGAUUCAUUGGGCGUAAAGGGCGCGUAGGCGGCGGGGUAAGUCGGGUGUGAAAUCUCAGGGCUCAACCCUGAAACUGCAUUCGAUACUGCCGUGCUUGAGGACUGGAGAGGAGACUGGAAUUUACGGUGUAGCGGUGAAAUGCGUAGAUAUCGUAAGGAAGACCAGUGGCGAAGGCGGGUCUCUGGACAGUUCCUGACGCUGAAGCACGAAGGCCAGGGGAGCAAACGGG
rnacentral:rRNA from 1 species